GAUGAACGCUGGCGGUAUGCCUAACACAUGCAAGUCGUACGAGAGUUUUUAACUCAAGUGGCGGACGGGUGAGUAACACGUGAGAAUUUACCUUUAGGAGGGGGAUAACAGAGUGAAAACGCUGCUAAUACCCCAUAUGCUUUCGAGUGAAAUGGAUUUAUUCGCCUAAAGAGAAGCUCGCGGCUGAUUAGCUUGUUGGUAAGGUAAUGGCUUACCAAGGCGACGAUCAGUAUCUGGUUUGAGAGGACGAUCAGACACACUGGAACUGAGACACGGUCCAGACUCCUACGGGAGGCAGCAGUGGGGAAUUUUCCGCAAUGGGCGAAAGCCUGACGGAGCAAUACCGCGUGAGGGAUGACGGCCUAUGGGUUGUAAACCUCUUUUCUCAGGGAGGAAUUCAAUGACGUUACCUGAGGAAUAAGCAUCGGCUAACUCCGUG
rnacentral:rRNA from 1 species